GGAGGGAUUCCCGAGUGGCUAAAGGGAGCAGACUGUAAAUCUGCCGUC
rnacentral:tRNA from 1 species